rnacentral:rRNA from 1 species
GACGAACGCUGGCGGCGUGCUUAAUACAUGCAAGUCAACUUGACUUUAGAUAGCAAUAUCGAAAAGUAGGGUGGCGCACGGGUGCGUAACGCGUAGGUAAUCUGCCCUGAGGUCUGACAUAACCCGUCGAAAGGCGGGCUAACAUCAGAUGAUAUAUAAUCACGACAUCGUGGAAAUAUCAAAUCUUCGGAGCCUUGGGAUGAGCCUGCGUCUGAUUAGGUAGUUGGCGGAGUAAUAGCCCACCAAGCCUACGAUCAGUAGCUGGUCUGAGAGGAUGAUCAGCCACACUGGAACUGAGACACGGUCCAGACUCCUACGGGAGGCAGCAGUAAGGAAUAUUGCUCAAUAGGGGAAACCCGUACGAAGACAGCAACGACCGCCGUGAAGG